AGUGAACGCUGGCGGUAGGCCUAACACAUGCAAGUCGAACGGCAGCACAGUAAGAGCUUGCUCUUACGGGUGGCGAGUGGCGGACGGGUGAGGAAUACAUCGGAAUCUACUUUUUCGUGGGGGAUAACGUAGGGAAACUUACGCUAAUACCGCAUACGACCUACGGGUGAAAGCAGGGGAUCUUCGGACCUUGCGCGAUUGAAUUAGCCGAUGCCGGAUUAGCUAGUUGGCGGGGUAAAGGCCCACCAAGGCGACGAUCCGUAGCUGGUCUGAGAGGAUGAUCAGCCACACUGGAACUGAGACACGGUCCAGACUCCUACGGGAGGCAGCAGUGGGGAAUAUUGGACAAUGGGCGCAAGCCUGAUCCAGCCAUACCGCGUGGGUGAAGAAGGCCUUCGGGUUGUAAAGCCCUUUUGUUGGGAAAGAAAAGCAGCAGGUUAAUACCACGCUGUUCUGACGGUACCCAAAGAAUAAGCACCGGCUAACUUCGUG
rnacentral:rRNA from 1 species